CUACUGGGCUAGCUUAAUAUAUAUACUUAAAUUGGAAUAAUACAGAGAAGAUGUGCAUGGCUCCUGAGCAAGGAUGAUACGUAAAUUUGUAAAAUGUUUCAUAUUUUU